CCUACGGGAGGCAGCAGUGGGGGAUAUUGCACAAUGGGGGGAACCCUGAUGCAGCGACGCCGCGUGGGUGAAGGAGCGUUUCGGCGCGUAAAGCCCUAUCGGCAGGGAAGAAGGAGGACGGUACCUGACUAAGAAGCCCCGGCUAACUACGUGCCAGCAGCCGCGGUAAUACGUAGGGGGCAAGCGUUAUCCGGAUUUACUGGGUGUAAAGGGAGCGUAGACGGAAUAGCAAGUCUGAUGUGAAAACCCGGGGCUCAACUCCGGGAGUGCAUUGGAAACUGUUGAUCUAGAGUGUCGGAGAGGCAAGCGGAAUUCCUAGUGUAGCGGUGAAAUGCGUAGAUAUUAGGAGGAACACCAGUGGCGAAGGCGGCUUGCUGGACGAUGACUGACGUUGAGGCUCGAAAGCGUGGGGAGCAAACAGGAUUAGAUACCCGUGUAGUC
rnacentral:rRNA from 1 species